rnacentral:lncRNA from 1 species
UUGGUCGUCUCUGCCCCAGUCCCUUUGCCGCGGGACGCGCGGGGCGGGAAGCGGGAACGCGAACGCGCUGCUCUGGCCAGCUUAGCUCCGCGGGGCGGGGCGGAGAUCUUCAGGAACUGAGCACCUACUGUGUGUCCUAGCGCUUUGCAGAGGAUUUUCGUUCAGUUUUCCCUACAGCCCUUGCCAGAGGUUAUCAAUACUCCACUUUCGGAGAGACAGGCUGAGACUAGGAGAGGUGAAGUCACUUGCCGAAAACCGCACAGCGAGGAUCUGCGUAACACCUCAAAUCGUGAUCGCUCACACCCCAAAUAGCACAAUGAACUAGAAACCACUUUUCCUAGUCUUGCUCUUGCCCCAUAUUCGUGAGUCGGCGCAUAGUGGGUACUCAGGAAAAUAAAUGUUGGCAACUGAAGAAUGAGCUUGACAGCUCAGCCUCGAGUACCUGCGGCGAAUGUAGCCCGCCCGGGGGGCGCCGGCCUGCCUCGGACCUCGGAGGGAAACGGUGGUGGAUGCGCACAUAGAGGAGAAUUGGGCACCCCCCGCUCUGCACAGGCACAGUGUUGGAGCCCCAGCCCUAGCCGAGGACAGAGUGGGUUCGAAUCCUGGCUGCUCGGCUGCUUUCAGGCUGUGUGUUGUUGAGCAAGUCAUUUUAAAACGUGGAGACCUCAGUUGCUCCGUCCACAAAGUGGAGCCAUUAAAGCCCAUCCUAAAGAAUUAAACGAAACAAUAUUCCUAAAAUACUAAACGUGUAAGUGUCGUCAGCCGUGCAUCCCACAAGCUUCAGGGGCACACCGGGCACCGAGCUGAUCCAGGACAAAAAGGCCUCCCGGCCCCUGUCCCCUGGGCGCAGGGACCAAUGAGUCUUCAAAUGACUCCAGUUUGGCGAAACCCGAAUGUGACUACCAUGGCAGUGGUGAAUCCCGAAAGCAAAUAUUCAAAUAUUCUGAAACUGGCGCAUGGUUAACACUGGCAUUUUCGCGUUUUUCUUGCAAUUUUAUUCUUGCUAGUAAAGAUAAUUCGUUAGAAACUCCUAAAUAAGGUUUCUCCUCUGCGUCUUGUUUGACUUUUCGUAUGAGCGAAGUUCACAAAACUGACCAAGAAACUGGAGUGCAAACGUCCUGGCUGGGAUCCCGGCCCUCGGACAGGCGUUGGAUAAUACCCGGGCUCUCGGCUCCUUCCCUCAGGCACGGAAGCCGCCGAAAAGAUAGACGGCUCUUCGUCCCGGCAGCCCUCCGGGAUUCCCCGUAUCCACGCUGGAGCGAGCAGGGUUGGGGGUUGCAGCCUGGAACUCAGCUUCCCGGAUCUCCCCAAACUCCCGCCUGGCCAGGAUUAAGGGAGUAAAUCCCUGACGCCACCGACCAGGUCAAGGACAAGUUCUCCCCCGGCAAACCCUCCCCUCCUGGGCGGGGAUUCGCUCCCCCCUUGGCCCGGAUGAAAGGUACUAAAGAGACGCGGAGGGGGGAGCGGCGGCCCCGGCCCCUUGAUGUUCCGGUUGAACAGGUGCUGGUGAAAAGGAGGCGGACCCGGCGGAAGAGUCUGCCAGGGGGGCAGUGCGCUGAAGGGGGGCGGCCUACUCCAUCCCCAAUCCCCUGGCCGGCCUUCCCCUCUUCCCUCUCUCGACCCCUCCCCCUCAGGAAGCAUUCCCGGCCGCGAAGUCUUUGAAGUGUCGCUGAAGCCCCCAGGGCUGCCUCCUCCCCUCCACCACCCCACCUCCCGCUGUGGGGGAGGGUGACCUUUAGUCCCCACGGGCGCCGACCCCCCUUUAGGAAAUGUGUGGGAGUCAGAUCUCGUCCCCUUUCCCCACACUAGUCUUGGGGAAGAAAUCUUCGGGCUAAUGUCCCCUCACUUCUGACCCGAGACUCAGUGUUGGGGACUUUAGCCCUUUGGAGGGAGCUGUGUGCGUGCCAUUGUGUUUGUGUGCGUGCUUAGCGGUCAAGGGUAACUUGUUCGUGACCACCUCCGUGGUUGCGGUCUCUAGCGCGCGUGGGUCUCUCCGGCGCGCCAGCGGAACUGGAGCUGGGCUUGGGUCUCCAGGAGGGUCAGGUGGUGUGCCUGGAUGAAGCUGCGCGGGCCUCUGUGCGCCUUGGAGAUCUGGGUCCCAGUGUGUGCGCGUGUGUCCGUGACAACGAAAAGCUCCUCGAGGGCAGGGAUAUCUAUUUUGUUCGCUACUCUCCUGGCGGCUGGCACAUACUAAGCGUUCAAUAAAUAUUUGUUUAA